GACGAACGCUGGCGGCGUGCUUAACACAUGCAAGUCGAACGAGAAGAGAUGAGAAGCUUGCUUCUUAUUGAUUCGAGUGGCAAACGGGUGAGUAACGCGUAAGCAACCUGCCCUUCAGAUGGGGACAACAGCUGGAAACGGCUGCUAAUACCGAAUGCGUUCUUUUUGUCGCAUGGCAGAGGGAAGAAUGGGGAGGCUCUUCGGAGCUUUCGCUGAAGGAGGGGCUUGCGUCUGAUUAGCUAGUUGGAGGGUAACGGCCCACCAAGGCGACGAUCAGUAGCCGGUCUGAGAGGAUGAACGGCCACAUUGGGACUGAGACACGGCCCAGACUCCUACGGGAGGCAGCAGUGGGGAAUCUUCCGCAAUGGACGAAAGUCUGACGGAGCAACGCCGCGUGAACGAUGACGGCCUCGG
rnacentral:rRNA from 1 species